rnacentral:lncRNA from 1 species
UAAUUGUGUAUAUGAAUGAUAUAUAUGAUCUUGCUAAUGCAAGCAAAUUCACAAAUCAAGGAUCGAUCCCCCCCUCUUAAUGAUGUGAUGGGGUUGUUUAGAAAGACAACCCCAUUUAUACAAAGUAGGGAUCUGAUGCCCCUCCUUCAGCCUCUCCCUAUAUGUGUAUAUCUUUGUGUCUAUGACUUUUUUUUUUUAUGAGAAACUAGUUUUUGAAGAUAAGUUUAUAUAGGAAAGAGACAGUUCAAUAGGAUAAAUAGUACUCUAUGGUAGAAAAAAAUAAAAUCAAAAGUAUAUAUUAUCAAAUGAACAAUAUAAAAAUCUUUUGCCAAUACAGGAGGGACGGGCACUUAUGUGUGAGUAAAAGAGCACCACACAAACAAAAGGAAAAGGUUUGGUUUAAGGCUGUCCAAGUCAGAGACCAAACCAACCUGUCCUUAUAAUUAAGGAACCAGCUAUUGAGUGGCUGUAACAAACUUCCUUCUAAUUAAUAGUAACCGUG